UCGAGAAUUUUUCUCAAUGGGGGAAACCCUGAAGGAGCGACGCCGCGUGGAGGAUGAAGGCUUUCGGGUUGUAAACUCCUGUCAUUUGGGAACAAGGCAUUAGAAUUAACUGUUUUGAUGUUGAUAGUACCAGAAGAGGAAGGGACGGCUAACUCUGUGCCAGCAGCCGCGGUAAUACAGAGGUCUCAAGCGUUGUUCGGAUUCAUUGGGCGUAAAGGGUGCGUAGGUGGCGCCGUAAGUCGGGUGUGAAAUUUCGGAGCUUAACUCCGAAACUGCAUUCGAUACUGCGGUGCUUGAGGACUGGAGAGGAGACUGGAAUUCAUGGUGUAGCAGUGAAAUGCGUAGAGAUCAUGAGGAAGACCAGUGGCGAAGGCGGGUCUCUGGACAGUUCCUGACACUGAGGCACGAAGGCCAGGGGAGCAAACGG
rnacentral:rRNA from 1 species